AUGCGACUCAAUCCCAUGACUCUCCUGAAAAACUAUCAUCACUUUUCCAACCUACGAAACCUUUUUCAGAGCUAAUUUGCCUUUAGUAAUCUACUAACUUGGUGUAUUUCCGUUUCAGAAGUGUGAUAGUGAACCUAGGUUUCAUCUAAAUGAAUCGACUUGAAAAAUCCGAUUGACUCCUUAAGUUUUUCACUAAACUUCACUAAAUUCAAUGUAAAUGUAUAUAAUUGAUCAGCUCGUCAAUACUGUUGAAGCCUUUUAUGAAAACGGGCGUUGAAAUCAAAUAAUUCUGCAUAAAACAUUGCUAGAUAUUGCUUCCGAUAGUGAGGUAGAACAGCCGCCAACCUUCACCCAAUAACACUGAGAAGAAUUUUGAAUAAAGACGCUUAGAAGGUUAAUAAACUGACAUUUACCGACCUUUAUUUGGUUAAACCUUACGGAGAAAAUCAUCUGCAGUGAUAUCGUAUUAGAUAAUUAGCAGAAUUGCACCAUGGACAUCCACGAAUGAUUGAAAAGCUACCAGCAGCAACUGAUUGAUGCCAGGUGACAUAACUUAUUCAAAGAUGAGGUCGAUCAAGCAUAUGGGAUUGAUGAUAACUAUUUUUUGUGGCAAGAAAUUGAGGAUAUACAGCUGGAAACUAUUUGGUUCGAACAGGACGAUGUCACUUGUCACACAGCCAAAGAAAAAAAUUAUUUUGCGGGAAAUUUGAUAGCCUUGAUAUAUCGUGUCAUAGUGAUAUAAAUUGGCAGCCAUAAUCACGUGAUUUGAUACAGUUUGACUUAUUUUUUGGGGGGAUAUUCAAAAGAAAAAGUUUACUUCAGGAACCCUGGAACUGUACAAGAUCUAAAAGAUUGUUUCAUUAACAUUAUAUACCUUAGCGGUAAGCAUUUUGUUUCAAUUUCAAUUCAUAAAUUUUAUUCUUAUAUAAGGUAAUAAACUAACUGUACUACAACGUUUACACAUUUUGGUUUAUUAAACAACGAGAGGUGGGCCGCAUUUUUUUCGAGAUUUUUCGAAUAAAUCUAACGAUUUUCUAAUUUAUAUAUGUACGUAUAAACAGUCAAUCAAAAUACGUGGCUGUAACAUUACUAGCGUUGAAUUGGCUGUAUUAAGUAUUUGUUUCCGACUGCGUCUUUAUAGUACUAUGGGUGUGUUAAAUUACAUUCUUCUGCGUAAGUGCGCAAGGCUAAAUCGAGUAUUAAGGUCAAAAGUUGAUAGUUAUACAGGAAAUUGAAAAUUUUAUCUUGCGAGCCACGAUAGAAUAAUAAGGUCACUAAUAGCGGUUGAGCCCAUUUUUAAAUUUGAAUUAGCGAUUGCGUGAACAGCAUAAAUAUUCAACGUUCUUUGUUAAAAGAACAGUUUAGGAAAAUUUAAUUAUAUACUUGGUGCAAAAAUAUCAAAAGUCUUGUAUCUCCCUCAGUAUUGUUAAAUAAAUUUUAAAAAUACUACAAAAAGGGAUUUUAUUUAUGAAAAAAAGGCUUAGGAGAUUAAUUAAAUGCUGAAAUUCAAUAUGUUAUGUUUAAUAAAAUACUUUUUUUAUAAUAACUUCACCAAUCAAAUCGGACAGAUGGCAGGGGGUGAGUCAAGAGGAGAAAAUAGAAUUUUCACGAAAACCAUUGCUCAAACUCAAAAACUGACGUGAUUUUCGGAAUCUCCAUGAGAAAAUACAUGAUACUACGCGUUUUUCUCGAUACUUUCCUAUUUUUCCUAUUAAGUGGCAUCACCUCCCAGCCAAGCUCCAAUAGUUUUCCACGAGUGUUCCCCAAAUAUGUGUGAGGCUUUGCAUUUCCGAUUCGACAAUUCUGACCGUUUUUCUUUGUUUACUUCAUCCAAUUUUAUUAAUUAUUGAUCAGAAUUGAUCGUUUGCUUCCUUGGAAGCAGCUCAAAAUACGAAACACGUUUGUAAUCCGGAUAGGACCAGCUCUAUAUAAAAAUUUGAAAUUACAAAAACUUUAUCAUUAAAUAUCUCCGGAAAUAUUGAUUUAACCGACUUGGUGUUGAGGACUUUUUUCGUAGAAAAUUGAAUAUUCUACAAGUUUGUUGUUCACUUUUUUUUUGUAGUUCUUGUCAUUCAAGAAAUAAACGCGACAAAACGUAAAUUUGAUGAAAAAAUCAAAUGUAGAGCCCUAUACUACCUCGCCAGUUCGAGUGCAGCAUUGAAUUGUGAAAAAAAACCGUCCAUGGUCGCUAAUGAGAUAUAGACAUUUAAAACUGAACGAUCAGAGCUGCUCUGUUUUUUUUUUAAGAAUUUGUUUUCGGUACUUGCAACAAAAUUUAACGAUGAAACGGAAAAAACGAACCAUAUGAUCUGUACAAUUAAAAUAUCUGGGAACCGUUUGUUUUACCAUCUUCAGCUCUAAAGAAUGAAAUACCGAAGGGACUGAACUUCCCAUCUACGAGGUCUGGCUAUUAAAUAACGAGACUGCGCGCCAAGAGGGCGUUGGGUAUCUAGAUAUCUUGUCCACGCACGUCCCAAAACACGUUUCCGUCACUAUUAUAAUAUUUGAGCAGUAGCUGUUUGAAACGAACGUGUUUUUUCUCGUGCCAUUUAUAACGAAAAUCAUUAGCAACGUAUCAAUCUCAAGUUUCUCGUUAAAUUGAAAAAAACUCCGCCAGAGUGCUAUAAAUUCUUGCCAGAAGCCUAUGGGGACAAUUUUAUCUCUCGUGCGCGUGUUUUUGAGUCUGUGAAGCUCGAACACCCACCGUACUCACCAGAUUUGGGACCGUGCGACUUUUUCUUGUUUCCGAAGAUAAAAUCUGCUUUGAAUGGACUCGAUUUGAGUCGAUGGAAGCGGUAAACCCGAGCUCCUAAAGGCACUCGCCAAAGAAGACUUCCAGAAGUGCUUCGAGCAAUGGAAAAAACGUAUGGAAAGGUGUAUGGCGAAGGUAGGGGAUUAUAUUGAAAGGGAGCAUUCGAAUGUAGAAUAAUUUUUAUAAUAAAACCAUUUUUCGUAACCAGUCUCGUUAUUUAUUACCCAGACCUCGUAUACAACUUAUUUUGUUGUUGUUAUCAGAGAAGUGUCGAAAAUUCAGUAAAUAUUUCAGUAAAAUUUGAAAUUUUACUGAUGGAAACAAAAAAAAUUCACUUCAAAAUGUAUAAAAACAAACGUUUGUAUUUCGUAAUUUGUGUUUAAAUGAUGUUAUAGGGUCAAGUUGACGUGAAUCGUUAUUUUUAAAUUGCCAGUUUCAUUUUAUUUAGCAAGAAAUCUCUCAACCGACCUCACGAUUCUUGUCGCACCAACUGACAUUUUGCAAAUAGAAUUAAAAGCCAUUUAAAUAUUAUUAACAUGUCGUCUCUAAAGCGUACAUCAAAUCCGGACGAAUGAUGCUGCAAUCACUUAUUCUAGGUUGGCGUUUAGAAAAUAAAAUUUAUGUAACUGAAAUACAUUACACAAUCUAGAAGGUUAGCGAUGUUAUGGCGUAGGUGAGGACGAGUAAACAAUAAGCGAGAGUGAAUCGCUUUUUCCAUCGAAUAGGUAUUUAACUAAUUAAACUUAAUUAGUUUUAAUCAAAUAAGAACGACGACAUGCUAUAAGUGAAAUUCGGUGAGAUUGAGGUUAAGUUUAUUCGGAAAUUAGCAUAAAAUUGAAAUUAUACGAAUUGUAAAACGCAGUAACAUGUGAAUAUUAUACGAGGAUGGUCUCAGAAGUACCUGGCCCAACAGAAAAAAACCCAAAAAGUUUUUUCCCAACGAUGUUCAAUAUGGCCGACGAUAGGGAAUAAUGCAGCUGCACCUUAUUUAAAUUAAAAAUAAACGAAAAAACAAAUAAAAGCACAAAAAAAAUUCAAAAUAUAUCCCCAAACCGAGAAGAACCGUUUUUACUUAACUCGUCCUCUUCUGGCCUUUGGUUGAUGGCUUUUCGUCCUUUUCAGCUAGAAUAGUACAACUCCAGCCAUCCAGAGGAGCAAUUCCUAUAUCGGGGCUAACUGCAACACAUCUUUCUCAAAAAAAAAGUCUCUUAUCCUACCUAUAAAUCAUCCAACGAUUUAUUUGCCGACAUCACCUCUUCAUUAUUGAAAAAUCUUUGACCAAAGGGUCUAUUUUUUCAAGUCUGCGAACAGAAAAUAAUCCGAUGGUGCUAAAUAUGGCGAAUAGGGUGUAUUCGAACUUAAAUUUCUUAAUUUUGGCCAUUGCAUUAACUGAUGUGUAAGCUGGUGCAACGAUUUGAUGAAACAAAACCGGUUUUGUUUGAUUUUUUCGCUCAAACAUUGCAAUAAGUUCGCAUAAUACUCGUCGUUGAUAGUUUUUACUUUUUCAAGAUGGUCAAAAUGAAAAUUAUCUCGCGCGCAUCCCAAAAAACCGACGUUAUGACCUUGCCUUCAGAUGAAACGGUCUCUGCCUUAUAAAAUGGUUAGGAGAAUAGAAAAAAAGGCUAAAAAAUAUGAAAGAAACUCGUAAAUGUUUCAUUAAUUUACGAACUUGUCAAAUUAAUGUCAACAAUUCUCCAUUUUGUGUCGAAACUACGCUAUUUAUUACAACUUUGAACGAAUUAAUGACGUUUCUACAUAUUGAAUUUUUGACAACUCCCAUCAAAUAUUUUUCACAAUAAAUCAAAUUGUCUCAGUGCGCACAUUAGCGGAAUUUCGAUUUUACGUUGGAUUUACGUUAGGGAAAAACGACGCAUCUUUGAAAUGGGUCGCCCUAGAAACCCGGGGCGAAGCGUGUGCGACCUCAUUUUCGAUAUCGAUCAGUGACCUACUUUUUUGGGCAACACGUGCUCUUGGAACUGCAUCGCACAUCGGCCGUUUCGGAGUUUCCAACUAAUGGAAACGACUAGGGAGUUCAUUUAAACAGUUCCUACAUGAUUUGAUUUAUUGCAUGCGAUAGUUCGGGUCCAUAGCCGGUUUGUAAAGAUUUUUCAGUGAAAUAGUUUUAAUUAUCAUCUUAUAUAUUCGGUAAAUAUCAACCGAAAUAAACAUGAUAAGUAACAACAGUAAAAGAGACGAUUAGAACAAAGAGAAACGCACAGAUUCCUAGUAAACAGCGUAGAAGGAUUGACCAACAAUGUCAACAAGUCCAGUAUGAGUCUGAUGUAGAACAUUUCAAAGUGGUUAUUGGAUAACUAUGAAAUAUGAAUAAAUAUUUUUGAUGUCUAGACAGCUAUCAAGAAUUUUAAUUCGAAAUAUAUUCGUUACUUUAAUAAAGUAAAAGUCCAUCCCUAUACACUUGUAGUAAGUUAGUUAUUUUAGAAAAAUAUUUUGUAAAUAUAUAGUUUAUAUGGCAGAACAACGUUUGCCGGGUCAGCUAGUAUGAUAUUAAAUAAAGAUCAGAACAGUAAAAAAAAGUUUUUGGUAUUUAAUCCCGUUAUUUUUGCAUGCCUCACCCUAAUCCUUUGUUUAUCCUCGGUCAACGCUGACCUAGUUCUAUAUGACCUAAUUCCGAAAAUCCAGGCACUCUUUUCUAGUCCAAUCUAUCGGCGGAACGCGCUUUUCAUCGCUUUCAUUACAUACUAUAUAAUGUCUUAUGUCAACACUAUAUAAAAUUUAUAUUUGGAACGAUUUUCCAUGUUUAUAUUUAAUUUCCGUAAUAAUAAAUGAAUCUGUUACUUUUUAUCGUCUAUAAAUGUCACCAAUUAAUUAAAAAAUUGUAUCUUUUGAAAGUUCAAAUCAAAGAAGCGUCAAUUCUCUUUUAGUUUGUUCAUAGUCCCCAAUUUUCCUUAAGACCCACUUUGUAUACGAAGCUAUUUUGGUCUAUGGAUCGGUGACUAGCUAGUCAAUUCAAAAUUCAAACAAAUAUAAAAGAAUACGUCUGUAAAGUUAGAAAGAUUAAGUCGCUUAUUUUAUAGAUCAAAAUUUACUGCUAUUUGGUGCUAUGAUAGGUAGACCUUAUCAGGUUUUCCAAUAUUUUCUUAAUUCAGAAUUCAUGAAACCAGUUAUGGUUGAAGAUAAACAAAUAAAUACGCUGCUCAAUUAAUAAAUAUCCUUGGUAGUUCGUCUGGACACACCGACGAGUGAGAUUGAAGGUCUUAUUGGGUACAUGGCUCUGGACCAGAAGCCUUCUCCAUCGAUAUUGAAAUAAAGAUUCAUUAUGCAGAAAUUACAUAGUCCCAGAUACUGUGUCCUCCAGUUGAUAGACAUGAAAUUUCCAAAUUCAGGUCGAACAAUUAUCACUAAUAACUGUAACUUCAGUUGAUGUAGCAAAUUGAUUAUUAGAUAGGAAAACUCAUCUUCUGGGUACGCUCCGCUCCAACAGAAAAGUUAAUCCCGAAAAGGAUACAACGAAAAAAUUGAAGAUUGGUGAAAGUUUGGCCAGAUAAAUGGAUAGAGGAAUUGAGGUAUUGAAAUGGAAAGACAAACGAGAUGUGCUAAUGAUUCCAACAAAAUAUAGUACAAAAUCUGCGAAUGUGCAACUCAAAAACGACCAAAAACCUCAAAGGUCGUAGUAUUCAUAUAGUUUGUUGAAAAAUGUACUUAGCUCAAUCUAGAGAGGAACUAUCGCAAUCAGAAGAUCAUCAUCCUGUCCAAUCAAUUAGAGCUCUAAGCUCCAAUAUCAUAUAAUGAAAAUUCGUUUGGAAUUGCUUAGAAACAUCAAACGGCUAAGCAAGAAAAAUAAAAUUGGAUUCCGGGAGACACCGGAGAGGAGUGAAAUAAAAUAGCUAAUAAGCUUGCUAAAGCUUGGAACCCAAAUCCUUCUAUGGUAUCAGCUACAGAAGAAUAGAAAAAGCACUGGACAACCUACAGAAGUUGAUACAAGCAAAGAUUCUUCUGGGAAACUAUAACCAGAAAAAUCCACGAAUACUAACACGAGUUUUAUCGCCUCAACACACACCUGAAGACGCUAGGACUAGCAGAUAAUGCGGCGUGCAGGUUUUGUUGAAACCUCUAUCCGUAUUAUCUGGAAACGUGACACUUUGGAGUGGAUGAAAUAGAAGACGAAGAUCUCUGGCAUCCUAGCCGUUUUAGAAGGAGUGGGAUUGAUGGAUCUGCUGUAAACACUUGCUGUAUCAUAGCAAGAAAGGGGUAGAUCCUUUGGGUCACAGUGUAUACGAGACCCCAAAUCUAUAUAAGAACCGUAGCUCUCGUUAUAAUUUGAUUUUACAACGAAGUAUGACUGAAUUAAUUGUGCACUAGCAGGCUCAUACGGUUGUUAAAGUGUUAAAAGAGACCUAAAAUAAAAACAAUUUAUGAAUUAGUUAAACUCAAGAUUGACGAGUAAGAAAAUAACGAAAAAUAUCGUAAAUAUAUUGGAGUUUGGAGAAAACAAGCGUAAAAUAUUGCACUAACCUUAACGCGAUGUUUACAGGAAACAAUGUAAUAUAUAGAAAAUUUUUUAUAUCGAAAGGUAUUCUUAUCAAAACUUAUUAAAAUAUCUAGAAACUAAUUUAUUUAUAAUCAACAUAAAUAAUAUCUUUCUUAAUUACGUAUACAUCUCUUAUCACUUGUAUGGUUUCCGUUCGGUUUGGAAAUUUGCGAAGGCAAACCGUGUGUUUAUGAUUCAUAAAAAAAUAAACGAGAAUGAACAGUUAGAGUCAAGUUACAGGUGCCGUUACACAGAAGUCACUUCAUAAUUGGGUCGCAACGGUAAGCGUUAAGACGUAAAAGCCAAGGCAAGUAAAUAAUAGUCAAGGUACGUGAUUCAAAAAACAAAUGUAAACCGGACUAUUACAAAUUUACUUAACACAAAAAUUGUUCAAAAUAAAUAUUGAUUAGUCCAGCUAUUUUUUUUUAUUUCAUCUAAGAUAAACGCUUUUGUCGUUCAAUCAACGAUAAUCUAAAUCUGGAUGCCUCUUGAGAAGUUUCGACACUCAAUCUAUAGAAAAAGAUUAU